GGCCUGAUUGCACAAGCCACCGUUAAUGGAGGCCCAAAAGGAAAACCCCAUACCGCCCCAAGGGCAACACCGACAGGCAACUGCCAAAACACUACCCCAAGAAAAUACCACAGCAGCAGAGCGCAACGUGUGACACUGUCGGCCCCACACAUAAGCAACAUUAAGAGCCACCUGUGCGGAGGCACAUUGCCACGUAACACUGACUGUCAGAAAUACGGCCCGGAAAACAAUAACCUGCCGGGCGCAUCGGCAGCAGCCGGAAAUCCGAUUCCACUGCUGCCUUUUUCAGCAAGGCCUCAGAGCCCUGCAGCCCUAACCACGUGGACC